AUCACACUGGCGACUGGGGUGGGAGGUUAAUUGUGACAGAGCUUCCAUGAUUUGUUCAGGAAAAAUAGGAUUGGAGCCAGACAAGGCUAGGGCUGGGGUCAACCCGGGGUCUCAACUGUUUCCUGUCAGCCUGACCUGGGUGGUACUGACAGAGGGAGGGAGAAAGGGGUCUGUUCAGUCUAAACUGGGUUCUGGAGUUCCUUGCUUCAGGAUUAAGCUGAAAAGUAGGCUAUAAUACUUCUAUUAGUGUAAUAUUACAUUUAUAAAGUAGGCCCUAUCUUGGUCAGUCUGUCUGUCUGUCUCUUUCUCUUUCUCUCUCUCUCUCUCUCUCUCUCUCUCUCUCUGUCUGUCUCCCUUUGUCUCCCUCUGUCUCUCUCUCUAAAGUGAAUAUUUAUUUCUCAUAGCUAUGUAGCUGACGUUACUGUGAGCUGCAUCCAAGACCCAAAACAGUGUGUCACUGGGAAAACAUUUUCCUCUCUCCUCUCCCUCUCUCCUCCUCUGAAGGCCAGCCUCUCUGUGUCGUCUAUCAGCCUGGUGUGUUUAGAGCUAGCCACAGGGUCAGAACAGAGCAGAGAAAGGCAUCUACCCCAUCUACUCCUAUUUCUCUCAUUCUCUCACUCACAAUACUCACAAAUCUCUCUUCCUUUCUCCCCCUUUUACCUCCCAGUCAUACAAUAGACUUCCCCUGUACGGUCCUGCCCAGAAGAAAGAACAGGGGGAUACAGUUUCCACAACAAUGGAAAUUCAAUCAGGAAAUGGAGAGGAGUUGGAGGUGGUGAGUGGCGAGUCAUUAGCGACCUCGGGCUCCGUUUCCUCCUCGACGUAUCUCUCUGUCCCUCAGGCAGACGGCACGGACGACCAAGUACUCCGGGAGGACCUCCAGGCUGCCAAGACCAUUGAGAGGUUUGACAUCCCUCUGAGUAACUUGAAGAGGAUGUUUGAGAAGCCCCCAGGAGCAGCCAACACUGAAGUGAGAGCCGUACAGUCCAGCCCAUCCAGAAGAGCCCCAGCCAGUAGCUACCAGCUUGACCAGAAGAGGGACCCAUCACCUGGUGAGAAGAUGGCCUCAGCUCAUGACCCCAGCCUCUGUAAGUAGUUCAUUACUGUAGCAUUACACACUGCCCUACCCCCUCCUCCUCCAGCACUUUUAUUCCAUCAGAAAUCAGGUAGCACAACUUUCAUAGAAUUUCCUCAAAUCCACAUAGCAGCUACAGAAUGUGAUACCGGUUAUGUGUACUUGAGAGAGAAAUCCGAAGACGAGCUUGUAUGUUGAGCAUGUACUGUGUUGUCCUGUGUGGGAUCAAAUCAACUCUGGGAAUGGAGUAUCAUCCGAGGCAGAAAAUGAACAACCCUAGAUACACAAACAGUUUUUCCAUUACUGUGAUAGGAGAAGUUGCUGAGUGGCUGCAUUGUGGGUUUCCCCUUUUCCACUGAAACUGAUAACAUUGUCUGUACAGAGUAGUCGUGGGGAAGGUGCAGUAUUCUCCGUUUAAAAAACUGCAGUAUUUCUCUAAAAAGGUCCACAGAUAUAUGUUUCUUUACGGAAAACCAUCCACAAAUAAUUUCACUGUUUCACUCCAUUUAAAUGAUUUACACAUGUGAAUGCAGAGGACGUGACCUGAGAGAGAUAGUGCUUGAGUGUGUGACAUGAGUGUGUGACAUUGGGGUCAUGUUGAGGUGCUUCUGUGAGUGUGUGUGUGUGUGUGUGAGAGAGACAGAAAGGCUCAGUGGAUUGAUGGACAUGUUGACAGCUCACUGUGUGUUCCACUCACAUACUGACUGACAGACACACACACACACACAGACAGACACACACACACACACACUCACAGACACACACACACAGACAAACACACACAGACAGACACACACACACACUCACACAGACACACACACACACACACACACACACACACACACACACACACACACACACACACACACACACACACACACACACACACACACACACACACACACACACACACACACACACACACACGACAUUACUCCUAGUUGUUGUUGUGGUUUCAGUAACAACCUAUAUACAGCAGUUCAAUCUCCAGAAUGUUUUUUUUCUCUUCUCAAAUGUUACCUCGGCCAUGUGAAAUGGUUAACCAGUCCUAAAUCACUGUGGUGGCUAAAGUUGGAUGACACUGUGGCCUUUGCGGACCGGUGUGGGUGUAAGUGAUGAGGGUUUGUGAGAGCUGACCGAUUGACAGUGUCAUGCUAGUGACAGCAUCAUGUGAUUUACAGCUCACAGUGAGUGACAGAGGAGGUAAAGGAGCUGUUUUCCCGAAGCCACCGUGUUAAAUAAAGACCUGUGAACGACACACUGAACUUUGUGCUUUAAACAAGCACCAACCUCACCUCUGAAGCAGCAUGCUUUUGUCUUUUAAAU
ensembl:lncRNA